rnacentral:tRNA from 2 species
GGCUUUAUAGUCAAUGUAUGAUAUUAGAUUGCAAUUCUAAAGUAGUAAUUUUACUAAAGCUU